GAAUGUUUAAUGUCUCCACAGAGCCCUGCUUUUUUUCUCUCUUCUCAGCAUGUCAGAGGACGUCUCCUUACCUCGCCUCCCCCGCUGCCUGUUAGCCAAGCCAGCUGUCCCUGCACACAGCUAGCACGCAUGCACACACAAACUACCUCAUAGGAGCCCAGACUCUGGACAGGUGCAUAGCAUAGGUAUGACAGGACCAAGUAUGCAACUUGGACCCCAACGUAUAUGCAUUGGAAGAGGAAGAAAGCAAGCAAGGGAGGUAAAAACAGGAAAUUACCUGCAACUUUUCUCCAGACUGCUGCUCUGAUUCGGUGAAGAGACUUUGGAAUCAUUGGAUCCUGUACUGUGGCCUGGUGUCAGGGAUGACCCAUGGGCUUUGCAGCACUGUGGCCAGAACAUGGAGACUAUUGAGAAAGCAGCCUGAGAUGCCCCCUAAAGUCGUCUGAGUUACCAGAUAAUGCUCUUAUUCUAUAAAGAGCCAUGCAGGCCAAACCCAGCAAGCUGAUCCCCAUGGCAAUGCUGAAGAUUGACAAGAUUUGUCUCUGCUGCACAUGAUACUCCUGAGAUGCCAGUGAUCUUGACGCUUUUUGCUCUCUGGACCUGCCUGAUCCAUCCUGAUGCCCUACUUCUGGUUGGAGUUCUCAUCAAUUGGAAGCCACAAUGCUGCUGCUGAGGAUGGCCUGACAUGGUGCAGCUUAAAGAUCAUUAGUAAUCUUAGAGAUUACUGAGGAUGGUACCACUUAAAAACCAUAAGAUGGCUUUGGACUUCUAUUCAUAUGAACAGUUAUGUUAUGAUGGCUAGGACUACAAUUGCCACAAACAGUUUUGCACUCAAGUCUCAAUCAGUGAACAGUGAACAAAACAGACUUCAUGUAAAAACUGUAAUGAAUUUUCCUGGUUACACAAUUGCACUAUUUGACUAUGUAGUAUUAGUACAUUUAUAGAACGGAAUUAUUUAUUUAUAAUCGCGCUAUCCAUUGUUACCCAGAGAAGAAUGUGUUCCCUUUUGAGUCUGGUUCCUCUCAAGGUUUUUUCCUCAUAUCAUCUCAGGGGGUUUUCCUUGCCACCAUUGCCUCUGCUUGCUCAUUAGGGAAUUGUUAAAAGCGCUAUACAAGUAAAACUGAAUUUAACUAAAUUAAAACAAA
ensembl:lncRNA